CGGCCGAGGCCGGCGCCGCCGCCACGGCUCGCUCGCAGUUCCUGCUGGCCAGGAUGCGGGACGAGGAGGAUUCGGAGGUGGACCGGACCCAGCAGCUGGUGGACCGGGCCGACAAGAGUCUGUUCGCACAGGAAAUAGUGUUGUCUUCUCUCACCAAGUCGCUGGAGGAGUGUAUAGCCAUGUGUGAGGUCGGGGCCAGUGCCAAUACGGGCGGGAUGGUGACGAGGUCCGCGCCAGAGUGCUCCGGCGCCGAGUCGGCGCCGCCGCGG